AGCAAAGUGGUCGGCGUACGUACGUGAACACACAUCGAUCUCGAUAUAUCUGUCUAGUUAGCUAGCUAGUAGACAUAUGGUGGGCUCGCAGUACGACGACGACGACGAUGACAAUGUUGUUGUUGGUCGCCGGCAGACGAGGUGGUACGCGGUGACCGGCGGCCGGGGGUUCAUGGCGAGGCACCUGGUGGCGGCCUUGCUCCGCUCCGGUGAGUGGCGUGUCCGGGUCACUGACCUCGCCCCUACUCUAGCCCUCGGCCAUGGAGAGACAGAGGGGAUUCUGAGCGACGCUCUCCGUGAUGGCCGUGCCGUCUAUGCCUCUGUUGAUGUCUGCAACCUUGACCAGCUUACCAAAGCCUUUGAAGGGGUAGACGUUGUUUUCCACACAGCUGCUGCGGAUCCUAGCAAGAACAACCUGCAACUUCACUACAAGAGGUUAACGUGGAGGGAACGAAGAAUGUAAUUGACGCUUGCAAGAUAUGCAAGGUGAAGAGGCUGAUCCACACCAGUACUAGUGCUGUUGUGUUUGACGGCGUUCAUGGACUUUUUGACGCGGAUGAGUCAUUGCCAUACCCAGAUAAGUUUCCUGAUGCAUAUGCACAAACAAAGGCAGAAGCAGAGAAGUUAGUCAUCAAGGCCAAUGGCAUUAAUGGCCUUCUAACUUGUUGCAUACGUCCUGGUAGUAUGUUUGGCCCAGGUGACAUUAUGAUGCCAACUUUGGAUCGUUAUGGAUGGUCAAAUGUUACUAUUGGUGAAGGGAAGAACUAUGAUGAUUUUGUGUAUGUUGAAAAUGUUGUCCAUGGUCAUCUUUGUGCUGAUAAGACUCUUUCUACUAUUGAGGGUGCAAGAACCAGUGGAGGAAAAGCAUACUUUAUAACUAAUAUGGAGCCAAUGAAUAUGUGGGACUUCUUAUAUCUUGUUCAAGAAGAACUUGGAUACAAAAGAAUAUUCAAGAUAAGGGUACCUAUAAUUGUUAUCAAGCCAGCAAGCUAUUUGAUAGAGUUGGCAUAUAGGGCUGUUUUCUCUCAUUUUGGAACUUGCCAGCCUCAAAUACUAACACCGGCGAGGAUUAGAUAUGUAACGCUCAAUAGAACAUUUAGUUGCAAUAAAGCUGUUGAAGAACUUGGCUACAAACCUAUUGUGACACUACAGGAUGGUUUGAAGAAAGCGGUGAAAUCGUAUAUUCAACUGAGGGAUAAAGAUUUACCUAAAAUAUAGUGAAGUUGUGAUGUAAAACAACUCUACCAAAAUAUCAUAAGCCAAAGCCAGAGGUGAUCGAUGAUGUCCCAUCAAUAAAAAUCGGGUUUGUGUUUUUUAUUAUAAUAAAAAAAGCUAUGUAAAGGACUACGAAAUAUUGUUGUAAUGCUCUAAUGGUCAGGCAUGUAUUUAUGUUAUCUGGGACGUAGACGACAUUAUAUUUGCUUUUAUGUUCCUCUCAUCAUGUGAAAUGUGAAGUUAAGGCUAUCA